rnacentral:tRNA from 1 species
GCGGAUAUGGCGGAAUUGGCAGACGCGCAAGACUAAGGAUCUUGUGGGUAACACCUUGCAGGUUCAAGUCCUGUUAUCCGCACCA